CCUGACGGUAGUCGUAUGCUCGUCUCCGAGACUAAGCCAUGCAAGUCCAAGUACACGUCCUUGAACGACGGAAACUGCGAACGGCUCAUUAAAUCAGUUGCGAUCUACUCGGCGUUCCGCGCCGCCGGAUAACCGUAGUAAUUCUAGGGCUAAUACGUGCGAAGCGCCCGAAGCCGCGAGGCGACGGGCGUUCUCGCCGGAUGUAGGAACCGACCCGGGGACCGCCGGGGCAACCCGGCGCCCCCGAGACGGGGCGAACCACGGUGAAAUGACGGAUCGUCGGCCCCGCGCCGGCGACUCGCCGAAUGAGUUUCUGACCUAUCAACUCGAGACGGCGGGGUAGAGGCCCGCCGCGGUAACGACGGGUAACGGGGAAUCAGGGUUCGAUUCCGGAGAGGGAGCCCGAGAAACGGCUACCACUU
rnacentral:rRNA from 1 species